CCGGUUCUAUAUCCCGGAAGUAGGGAGCAAAUGGAGAGAGGAUGGGAAAAGCCUAUCGACGGGGAAUGGCGUUAUCCAAUUUAACAAAAUUUGUGUUUUUCCUCGUUAAGUGUAGCAGACGGCAGUUUACUAACUUCCGUGGAAAUAAACAACCCAAUUAUAUUUUAGAUGCGUCGUUAACGUACUUUAAAUGAUAAUAGCACCGCCUGUCAUCAUAGCAGUCGUCCGAGGUAUCAACGUUAUCAGGCUAAAGCCACUAGCUGUUUUCUGAGGCGGGAUAACCGCUGUGAGGUAGCCGAUAGCUCGCUAACUAACGCUGUGGCAGUUUGGGGUCGCAACUUCGGCUCCUUCUAUAGGAUCCAAUUCAUUUGGAUGGCGGUGGCUGCACAAGCUAAAUGGUACAAUAAAGAUGUUAAAUAGAUGCGUAGCUGAACGAUGUAGCUGAAGUAUGUCGCUUGGAUGGGGGAAUUGGGCAAAUAGCCACGACGCUUGGUCAGUGUUUGUAGUAGCUAGACGACGAAGGAUAUGAGCUUUAAUGUGGGAAAAAGGGACAGGGCGUCAUGAUGGAGUGAGCGCCCAGCUCCGGGUGCGGCCUGCGUCUCUCCGACGUUUUCAUGUCCCACACAUGUCUGGUACCGCGUAGCCCUUGUCAUUUGUCCUCACUGAAAAGAUGGACCUCUGUAGUCGGUAUCCCAACCGUACGGCCCCAGUGGGCGAGGAAGGGGCCCGCAGGCCGGAUCUCCCCCUGUGCUCCCGCACCAAUGGCUGGAGCUGGCCCCCCCACCCCUUCCAGCUGUUGGCCUGGCUCCUGUAUGCUUAUUUUGCAGUGGUGGGCUUCGGCGUGUUUGUCCCCCUGCUGCCCCCGCACUGGAUUCCUGCGGGCUACAUCUGCACCGGCGUCAUUUUUGUGUGUCACCUGUUCGUCCAUCUGACUGCCGUGUCCAUCGACCCGGCUGACGGCAACGUCCGGGCCAAGAGCUACAAAGGCCCCCUGCCCGUGUUUGACCGCACCAAGCAUGCCCAUGUCAUCGAGAACUGCCACUGCUACCUCUGCGAAGUGGACGUGAGCCCCAAAUCUAAACACUGUAGCGCUUGCAACAAGUGUGUGGCCAGUUUCGAUCAUCACUGUCGAUGGCUCAACAACUGCGUAGGCAGCAGGAACUACUGGCUUUUCUUGUACAGUGUGAUUUCUGCACUGCUGGGAGUGUUCCUGGUGGUACUCGUUGCCAGUUACGUAUUUAUUCAGUUCUUUUUGGAUCCCUCCACGCUACGUUCCGACAAGCAUUUCGAAGUGAGCAAUGGGACCGUGGUGUGGUUUGUGUUCCUGCCCGUGGCCCCUGUUUCCACCACUGGUCCAGCCAUCCCUGCCCUGGCUGGCAUCACUGUGGCCAUCGGCCUCCUCUCCGUCCUACUGCUCGGCCACCUUCUGUGCUUCCACAUGUACCUCAUGUGGAACAGGCUGAGCACAUAUGAGUAUAUUGUCCGGCAACGGCAUCGCCAGGACCCUAAGGGAUCUGCCAAACACCCCUCUGAAAGCAACCCAGCACCACCCAGAAGCCAACCGACGAAGGAUGUCAGCUAUUCGGGAACGAUGGGUUACACCAAUGCCGAGAUGGAUGUGGAGGAGUCCGUUGCUGCGGCAACACGGGCAGGACCAGAGUUUUGCGGUAAUGGCCGGUUGAGGAGUCUGUCCACCCGGACGCCGGAGGGUGAGCGUUUUCCUGUCGCCUACGCUGAACACGAACUGAACCGCCACCCCCAGAAACACACGCAGAAGAGGAAGAAACGGAAGGUGUGCAAGGUCCCUGCUGAGCUCGACGAUGACCGACCCAGGGAGUACACCAGCAGACCCCCCUCUGCGGACGCUGUGGAGCCAGACCCCUGCGUGGUCACCCUGAGCCAGGGCCUCCCCUUCCCCGCAUUCCCUGUGCGGGCUUCCCUGCCCCCUAUGGCCCCCGUGCGGGCGGCCGGCCCCCCUGCUGAAUAUCACUCUGACUCUGCAGAGUCUCUGGAGGAGAUUCCCGUGGUUCUGGCACGACUGGGCAGCGCUGCCCCGGUGGGGUCCAGGCCCCCACGUACGGCCCGUUCUGCCUCGGCCUUCCACCACAUCUCCCUCCCCACCACCGCCGUGCGGCACCCGACCUCCCCUCAGCCCAGGCCCAAGCGCAAGGCCCCCCCACGCAGGCCAACUGGCCAAACGCUGGAGAUGGUAGCCCAGGAGCCUGCCGUGUUUGUCAGCCGGAGCAGCGGACAAAGCCCCUGCGCUUGGGAUGGGCCCAGCCCCAGGACAGGUACCCCCUCAGCAUAGGGAGGCUGGGCUGUGGUAGGUGGGGCUUCCCUGACUCUGGUGCUGAUCCAAUUGCAGCGGAUUGGAGGACAUGCCGUGUGAUGCCUUUGGUCCUCUGGUGUCAUUAAAGCAGCAUGUCUCCACACACUUGCCAAUCUUACAAUAAGGUGACGGUGGAAUCCUCAUUCCUAUUGAAUCGCUGCACUUCCUAAUACUAUGACUCCGAGAGAUAUUUUUAUAGUAAAUGUUUUAUUUAUUCUUAUUAUAAAUGCCAAAGCUUAUAAACAUUCUUUUUCUGAAAGACAAUAGCUUAUUUAUAUGGAAGUAAAUUUGUUCCCUGGUACAAUUGCAUUACCUCAAAAUGUAGAUUUAUAUAUAUAUAUAUAUAAUAUGUGUGUGUGUGUGUGUGCACUUUCAAAUUUUAUUCAGCCAUCUCUGAACUUUUGUAGAAAAUUUUCUCUUGUGCUAUUGCAUCCAUGCCUGUGUUGUGAUUACGUCACUGUGGAUUGGCUGGGAGUUUUGCACGAAGAAAAAUUUUGCAUCCUGUGUAAGGAGAGCGAAACCUCUGACCCGAAUCCAGCUGCGUUCAUGUUCGCAUCCUUCCCUGUUCGCCUCGGCCCAUAAGUGUUUCCCGAUGACGGCGGGAAUAAAUGGGCUUGCGUUCAGUGUUUCUGGUCGCGUCACCAUGACGUGGGCACAUCCCCUGUGUCAUGCUGCAUGGAUGCAUUCAGGCUGCAGAGGAGUCUGGGAGAUGCAGGAGUGCAUGGCCCCAUGCAGCAGGUGUGCCGUGUUGUGUGAGCGGUAAGUGGCAUGGGAUUCGCGCUGGAGUUCGACCAGGCCGAGGCGUCGGAAAGCAGACGGCUCACUCUUCUUAUUGCUGCCUUUGUUUUACCCCCCUGCUGUCGCUAAACCCCAAAUGAAGAUCCUGGUAUCAUGCAGGCUACGGUAGCAUGGCACCAGGCCGGGAGCCGGCUGGUCAGCAGCACCCUGGAGAGCUUUGCCAGAGCAGCCUCGUUCUCAUCCUGGCAGUCAUUUUGGUUUAUUUUCGGUUCCUGAAGAGGAUUCAGUUCCCAUCCGCGCUGCCAGCGAGUAACGACCUGUUUCUUUUAUUUAUUUUUUUUUGCCUGACCAAUGCAGACUGCAGGUUUAACGGCUCAUGAGACCAUCCACACGGCUUCCUUUGGUUCUCUGUGAGGUCAUUAAAUUGAUCCAGACCUUAUGUCCAAUAGCCUGAAGUUUUGGCUUGAUAUGCAGGUGUUCAGUCGGUUCCAGUGUGUGCUCACAGACUGCUCAGUGUGCUUAGUAGCCUUCACUGGAUUCCGCUUUGUAAGCCAGAAGGAGGGGACUUUUGUCAUAAGACCCAGUACUGCAGCCAAACCAGAGCUGUGACCCCUCCCCAAUCACCUCUGCCAGGGUCAAAGCACAAUAGAAAGGUCAAAAAUCAGUGAGCCAAUCUAAGACUCGCUAAUCCAGAUGAUGUUUUACAAAAGCCUUUUUAUAUAUCCCUAUUCUCAGUUAGUGUCCAGCAAUUGCUAAAAAUAACCUUUGCUUUUCAUUGCCCGAGAUCUUCCCUGGCUCGAAUCGUUGAUGUAGUUUGUUUUCUCGGAUGACACGUGCCACAGAAAUCGCUGGAACUUUCUGUUCCUGAUGCAGCUCUCAUGGGGGUUCCAGCUCUGGAAUACAGCUGUGAUCUGACGGUCCAGUACAAGCCCCGCCCCCCCCCACUGGAAAGUCACAACCCUGCUUUGUGUGCUUUGUACGUAUUGUGCAUUGUUUUGCCGGGACGGUCUUCUCUGGCACCCCCAAUCCUGCCAGCUGCCACUAAGUCAUCCUGCACCACAGCAGAAUAGUGAGGGUCUCCAUGGAAACAGUGACGAUUUCAUAACAGUGUCAGUGAAGACAUUUUGGAAUGAAAGGGGACUGUGACUGUCUGUGAGAGCCCAGCUCCAGUGGGCAGCCGGUUGUAUGACAAGGACAGUGUCCCUCCACGUUUGUCUUAAAUCAGCUGUACUGAUCAAUGUCAUUGUCUCUUUAUACACAUCUUAUUUAAUAAAACCGCAAAGAGCUAAAUGCACCUGAGGGGCCUGCUAUUGUUCAUAUGACGUUCUGAAAGUCUUUGGAAGCAUUCGGCUAUGUGACCUUUACAUUUUGAAUGCCUGUCUCAAUUUUAUACAUCUGAAACAGUGAGUGCAGGGGCAGCUACUUCCGAGCACAUUAAAGCAGAUCGAUGGUGGGAUUUAGGUCCUCCAGCCCAAAAGUCUGCCACAGCCCACACAGUGCGAUUCCUGGGGCCAGAUGGACGGCAGGCAGUCCAGCAUCCGUUUACAUCCCGGAGAGACGGCAACUAAAUGGAAGCAUGUGUGAUGGGAUGUUGC